GCGCGGUGCGGGUGCUAUAAUGCAAGUUGAGCGCUGAGGUUGGUACUUGUACCAACUGGAUGAGCAGCGAACGGGUGAGUAACGCGUGGGGAAUCUGCCUUUGAGCGGGGGACAACAUUUGGAAACGAAUGCUAAUACCGCAUAAAAACUUUAAACACAAGUUUUAAGUUUGAAAGAUGCAAUUGCAUCACUCAAAGAUGAUCCCGCGUUGUAUUAGCUAGUUGGUGAGGUAAAGGCUCACCAAGGCGAUGAUACAUAGCCGACCUGAGAGGGUGAUCGGCCACAUUGGGACUGAGACACGGCCCAAACUCCUACGGGAGGCAGCAGUAGGGAAUCUUCGGCAAUGGACGAAAGUCUGACCGAGCAACGCCCGCGUGGAGUGAAGAAGGUUUUCGGAUCGUAAAACUYUKKUKGUAGAGAAGAACGUUGGUGAGAGUGGAAAGCUCAUCAAGUGACGGUAACUACCCAGAAAGGGACGGCUAACUACGUGCCAGCAGCCGCGGUAAUACGUAGGUCCCGAGCGUUGUCCGGAUUUAUUGGGCGUAAAGCGAGCGCAGGUGGUUUAUUAAGUCUGGUGUAAAAGGCAGUGGCUCAACCAUUGUAUGCAUUGGAAACUGGUAGACUUGAGUGCAGGAGAGGAGAGUGGAAUUCCAUGUGUAGCGGUGAAAUGCGUAGAUAUAUGGAGGAACACCGGUGGCGAAAGCGGCUCUCUGGCCUGUAACUGACACUGAGGCUCGAAAGCGUGGGGAGCAAACAGGAUUAGAUACCCUGGUAGUCCACGCCGUAAACGAUGAGUGCUAGAUGUAGGGAGCUAUAAGUUCUCUGUAUCGCAGCUAACGCAAUAAGCACUCCGCCUGGGGAGUACGACCGCAAGGUUGAAACUCAAAGGAAUUGACGGGGGCCCGCACAAGCGGUGGAGCAUGUGGUUUAAUUCGAAGCAACGCGAAGAACCUUACCAGGUCUUGACAUACUCGUGCUAUUCCUAGAGAUAGGAAGUUCCUUCGGGACACGGGAUACAGKUGGUGCAUGRUUGUCGUCAGCUCGUGUCGUGAGAUGUUGGGGUUAAGUCCCGCAACGAGCGCAACCCCUAUUGUUAGUUGCCAUCAUUAAGUUGGGCACUCUAACGAGACUGCCGGUGAUAAACCGGAGGAAGGUGGGGAUGACGUCAAAUCAUCAUGCCCCUUAUGACCUGGGCUACACACGUGCUACAAUGGAUGGUACAACGAGUCGCGAGACAGUGAUGUUUAGCUAAUCUCUUAAAACCAUUCUCAGUUCGGAUUGUAGGCUGCAACUCGCCUACAUGAAGUCGGAAUCGCUAGUAAUCGCGGAUCAGCACGCCGCGGUGAAUACGUUCCCGGGCCUUGUACACACCGCCCGUCACACCACGGGAGUUGGGAGUACCCGAAGUAGGUUGCCUAACCGCAAGGAGGGCGCUCCUAAGUAGACCCGAUUUUGGCG
rnacentral:rRNA from 1 species